UGUAUGAUAUUCCAACAUACUUUAAUCAAUCCUCUCCUUUUGGACAUUUAUGUUUUACCCAGAACUCCUCACUCUUUGUCUGAUUGGUGAGCUCAAACAUGGGAAGUCACAGGGAAUAGUCGUGCAGCAAUUGGACUAAGUCAAGGCAGCAACCUGAUCAACCUGUUCACAUCUAAUUAUACCUGCUGCGCUGCCCCUGCCUUCCCCGUGGUCUGGAAACCAGCAGUGAAUCUAGAUCGCCACAGAGGACAAACAGUUUACAGGGACGACACACAUUGGCAUCAGGAGUGUGGGCUCCAGAAUAUUGCUUGGGGAUGAAAUAUGGGCUCUACUGUGUCAAUGUCACCUAGAUAGAAGAAGAAAAGUUUAGGCAUUGGGUACUUGAAAAGACUGGAAAGAAUGCCACUGAGGGAGGAAAGAAGACUGAAUGGAGUUCCAAAGUCCAUGGGCCCAAGAACCAGGAACAACAAUGUCCACAUGGACCGGAGUCAUCCGCCCACCUUGGACAGCUCUAAGUCUCCUCCCUAGUCUGCACCAAACAUUGGCUGGAGAAUGGCCUCAAGCUGGAGGUGGAAAAGACUGGAAUGUGGUUUUAUGCCAAGCUGUGAACUCUAUAAACCACUUCACCAGGAAGCCAUUUCCAAGUCACAUAGUGUUGGUAAUUAAUGCUGUAUUAGUGACACUUCUGUAAGUGGGUUACAGAUUGUUGCUGUGGUGUGUAUAAAGCUUAUUGGAUAAAUGUCUUUAGGAAAGGGAAAGGCAUUAGUCUCUUGGUGAUCAAUAGGAUAAUAAAUUGUGUUUUGUUUCUCUACCUGGAUUUAAUGUUUUACCUUUCAAAUAAAUGCUAGCUUGCUCAUUGCUUCUCUGGUUUUCAAGGCUCAUAGUAUCUUGAAACACUUACAGUUACUCUCUCCACAAUCAGAAAAUCCCUAGCUUCUCUGCGGGACAAACAGUCACAGGAGUGAAAAGAACAGAAAAUGAAAGAAACUAAAAGUAAAAACAGAUGACUUAGAGGCUAAGUAUGGAGCAGAGCUUUGAUAAUCUACUCACUAAGCAGCAUGUCAAUUCCAUAUAGAACCAGGUUUUCAAAUAGAAGCAUCCUCUUCCACCCAUCAAAAACAGACCCAAAUUUCCCCCUCUCACAUGCUAAGGCCUUUGUGACAUUCUUUUGGAGAAAUUUUCCCUUUAUUACAUUGUGACAUGUUUCUGGCCACCUAGCACUUAAGAGUGAAUACAAAUAAUGUUUUAAAUUAACAGCAACUUAACUAUUCUCUUCAGCUUUCCCCAAUUCAAAUAUGAUCAGGACUUAAGAUUCUGCAAGAGCCAAGGUGGAAAUGCCCAUUGUUAGCAACAGGAUUAAAAGAGAGUCUUGUUGGUGUAGUUUCUUUUCCUCUUUGCCUUCUUUUAUCUGAGUUGCUCCUAUGGAGCCAGUUUCCUAAUGUCCAAAAAGGUCAUGAUUCAGUCACAAAAGAAUGGGAAUAGAGAGGAUGUAAAAAAAAAGGAGUCAUAGUUUCUUUCCUUCAUUUUACUCCCAAAUGACUCAUGCUGCAGAAGAGAAGUAAUUUAUUAUAUUCUUUAUCCCAGUUCAAUCUGGGCAACUGGCAGAAACAGAGGAGAUUAUCUCCUCCACCCCUUCGCCCCCUACCAAAGAACUUCUGUCCAGUAUUGGUUGCAUACCUAGCUAAUCAAUGACAGAUUCUCUGUAAUCAUCAUUACAAUUCAACACCCAAGGUUAACGAGUAGUCCUUCCAGACGAGUAUGUAUCAUGAGGCAAGACAUUAUUCAACAAGAGUUAAUGGUCUUCCUACUAUGUGCUGGGUACCCUGCUAGGAUCUUGAAUCGGAACUUAGCUCUUGAGAAGGAAUGAACAGUUUAAAACCAGGGAGGAAGCCAAACUGCAGAAUGGUUUUAUUUUCCUCACCAAUGCCAUAAAGAAUAUGUCAUUUUACCACCUCCCAUACUGUUGGGCGUGUUGAUGCGUGAGUGUAGAUAAAAUGUGUGUGGCUUGCAAUGGGUCGCAUUUAUAUGCCUUGUUAUUCCUACAUAAAUAUGCCCAGCCCAGCUUUUGUUAAUUGCUCUUUAGAGUGAUGGUGAUUAAAGUAAAUACAGGAGUACAAAUAAGAAUGCUUUAAAAUGAUGGUGUAAUCAUUACUAAUUCAUUUUAUAUUUAUUGUGGUAUUAAUUCUAAUGAACCUUCUUGAUAUUAAUGUGGGUGUUAUAAGUACUCAGAUUGAAUUUUUCACUUUGAGUCAGUAUUAAUUAAAUGAAUGGUUAUUAUUACCUGUGUAAUGGGCCUAGAAGGGAUAUUAUUUUGGUGUUUAUAAAAAUCAAUAGUAAUGCUUUAAUAAUAAAAGCUUGUUUUUAUUCUUUCAUGUUG